rnacentral:rRNA from 1 species
GUGAACGCUGGCGGUAGGCCUAACACCUGCAAGUCGAACGGCAGCACAGUAAGAGCUUGCUCUUACGGGUGGCGAGUGGCGGACGGGUGAGGAAUACAUCGGAAUCUACUUUUUCGUGGGGGAUAACGUAGGGAAACUUACGCUCAUACCGCAUACGACCUACGGGUGAAAGCAGGGGAUCUUCGGACCUUGCGCGAUUGAAUGAGCCGAUGUCGGAUUAGCUAGUUGGCGGGGUAAAGGCCCACCAAGGCGACGAUCCGUAGCUGGUCUGAGAGGAUGAGCAGCCACACUGGAACUGAGACACGACCCAGACUCCGACGGGAGGCAGCAGUGGGGAAUAUUGGACAAUGGGCGCAAGCCUGAUCCAGCCAUACCGCGUGGGUGAAGAAGGCCUUCGGGUUGUAAAGCCCUUUUGUUGGGAAAGAAAAGCAGCAGGUUAAUACCCCGCUGUUCUGACGGUACCCAAAGAAUAAGCACCGGCUAACUUCGU